rnacentral:rRNA from 1 species
UACGUAGGGGGCAAGCGUUGUCCGGAUUUAUUGGGCGUAAAGAGCGUGUAGGCGGCCGUACAGGUCAGCUGUGAAAACUCGAGGCUCAACCUCGAGACGUCGGUUGAAACCGUACGGCUAGAGUCCGGAAGAGGGGAGUGGAAUUCCCGGUGUAGCGGUGAAAUGCGCAGAUAUCGGGAAGAACACCCGUGGCGAAGGCGGCUCUCUGGGACGGUACUGACGCUGAGACGCGAAAGCGUGGG